ACAUUUUCACUCUGGAAAUUCAGGCGUUCGGUACUAAAGUUGCAGUCACAUUCCGACGACAACACGGAUCAUGUCUAACACCGCAGAAGAUAUUACAGACCCAAUGGUUGCAAAGACAACGGGGCAUCCCCAAGGAUUAGGUAGAAGUAAUCCAGGACCACAAAGAGAAUCGUGGCACCGACACCUGGAUUACAUGCUGACAAUGGUGGGCUACAGUGUCGGGUUAAGCAAUCUGCUCAGGUUCCCCUAUAUCUGCAACAGGAACGGUGGAGGAGCUUUCUUGAUUCCGUUCAUCAUUUGUCUUCUGAUUGCUGGAUUCCCCAUGUUUUUCCUGGAGUCAGCAAUCUCUCAGUUCUCGGGAAAGGCUGUCCAACAAGUCUGGAGCUUUUGUCCCAUGUUCCAAGGCCAGUGCAUAUUUCUGCUGAUAUGUUUUACACAUAUAUUCUAUUUUAAUUAAAUCUGUAUUUAGACACACUGCGUAUAUUGCACACACUUGAUCUAUGAUACCUAACUUGCACCAGCGAACUGAAACCUGCAUUCUGUGUGAUGGUUCUUCAACCAUAUUUGGAGCUGCCUGUAUUAUUUAGAUGGAUUAACUUGUAACGUUAUACCGGGUGAAAUCGCAAUGCAGGACAUGUUUACCCUUUUCGCGAACGCCAAGUGUCAUCAUUGAUUUUCAGGACUCUGAAGA